UACGAAGGGGACUAGCGAUGUUCGGAUUUACUGGGCGUAAAGCGCAUGUAGGCGGGUCGUUAAGUCGGGGGUGAAAGCCCAGAGCUCAACUCUGGAACUGCUUUCGAUACUGGCGACCUGGAGCAGGUCAGAGGCGAGUGGAAUUGCGAGUGUAGAGGUGAAAUUCGUAGAUAUUCGCAGGAACACCAGUGGCGAAGGCGACUCGCUGGGACUUUGCUGACGCUGAGAUGCGAAAGCGUGGGGAGCAAACAGG
rnacentral:rRNA from 1 species